AGUGAACGCUGGCGGUAGGCCUAACACAUGCAAGUCGAACGGCAGCACAAGAGAGCUUGCUCUCUGGGUGGCGAGUGGCGGACGGGUGAGGAAUACAUCGGAAUCUACCUUUUCGUGGGGGAUAACGUAGGGAAACUUACGCUAAUACCGCAUACGACCUUCGGGUGAAAGCAGGGGACCUUCGGGCCUUGCGCGGAUAGAUGAGCCGAUGUCGGAUUAGCUAGUUGGCGGGGUAAAGGCCCACCAAGGCGACGAUCCGUAGCUGGUCUGAGGGGAUGAUCAGCCACACUGGAACUGAGACACGGUCCAGACUCUUACGGGAGGCAGCAGUGGGGAAUAUUGGACAAUGGGCGCAAGCCUGAUCCAGCCAUACCGCGUGGGUGAAGAAGGCCUUCGGGUUGUAAAGCCCUUUUGUUGGGAAAGAAAAGCAGCCAGUUAAUACCUGGUUGUUCUGACGGUACCCAAAGAAUAAGCACCGGCUAACUUCGUGCCAGCCGCCGCAGUAA
rnacentral:rRNA from 1 species